GGGGGCCCGCACAAGCGGCGGAGCAUGCGGCUUAAUUCGAUGCGACGCGAAGAACCUUACCUGGGCUUGACAUGCAGGGUGAAACCCGUGAAAGCGGGUGCUCUACGGAGCCUGCACAGGUGGUGCAUGGCUGUCGUCAGCUCGUGCCGUGAGGUGUUGCCUUAAGUGGCGCAACGAGCGCAACCCCUAUCCUUAGUUGCCAGCGGGUCAUGCCGGGAACUCUAGGGAGACUGCCGGUGCCAAACCGGAGGAAGGUGGGGAUGACGUCAAGUCAUCAUGCCCCUUAUGUCCAGGGCUGCACGCAUGCUACAAUGCGCGGUACAAAGGGUUGCGAUCCCGCAAGGGGGAGCGAAUCCCAAAAAGCCGCGCUCAGUUCGGAUCGGGGUCUGCAACCCGACCCCGUGAAGUCGGAGUCGCUAGUAAUCGCAGAUCAGCAAUGCUGCGGUGAAUACGUUCCCGGGCCUUGCACACACCGCCCGUCACACCACGAAAGUGGGCAACACCCGAAGCCGGUGGCCCAACCCUUGUGG
rnacentral:rRNA from 1 species